GUCAGGACACGCUCCAGGAGGUGGGUACUGAGCUCCAAGCCCCUGAACCAGCCGGUGGGGUCGCUGAAAGCAGGAUGCCCUCAGAUGUCAGCUGGGACACAGAGUCAUGACGCGGCUCCAUCUGUCUGCAUGGAGUCUGUGUUCAGGUUCUUCUCAAAAACGCUGAGUCCUAAACCACCCACCACCUUCAGUAUGGUGACCCGCAGCAGGGGCACAGUGGGACAGAGCAGACCUCACAACGGGAGAGGCAUCGCCAGGCCUUACUGACAGCACCAGUGGGACAGAUCAGACCUCACAACGGGAGAGGCAUCGCCAGGCCUUACUGACAGCACCAGUGAAGUACAGGAAUACAGUGGGAUUUGAGUAUUUAUCUUACGGUCAGAAAGACAUGUGUCUAAUUCACGUGAAUACAUUUUACUGGACUCUGGAUGAGGUCAUCCUAAAUAUUUAGUUUCAUUUUGUUAAGACACUCCAGGUCAUCCUAAAUAUUUAGUUUCAUUUUGUUAAGACACUCCAGGUCAUCCUAAAUAUUUAGUUUCAUUUUGUUAAGACACUCCAGGUCAUCCUAAAUAUUUAGUUUCAUUUUGUUAAGACACUCCAGGUCAUCCUAAAUAUUUAGUUUCAUUUUGUUAAGACACUCCAGGUCAUCCUAAAUAUUUAGUUUCAUUUUGUUAAGACACUCCAGGGUCGGACUUGUCGACAGCAGAUUGUGGAUAAAUACUUUUUUUCAUCUUACUAUCUGUAAAAUACUAAAGACAUUUAUGUCAAAUGCAUUUUUUUUGGCACAUUUUUACAAAUAAAAUGUUAUCUAGAAUAAAAAAUGUACAGUAUUAUCAA